UUAGUGGCGGACGGGUGAGUAACGCGUGGGCAACCUGCCUUACACAGGGGGAUAACACUUAGAAAUAGGUGCUAAAACCGCAUAAGCGCACAGCUUCGCAUGAAGCGGUGUGAAAAACUCCGGUGGUGUAAGAUGGACCCGCGUCUGAUUAGCUUGUUGGCGGGGUAACGGCCCACCAAGGCGACGAUCAGUAGCCGGCCUGAGAGGGCGGACGGCCACACUGGGACUGAGACACGGCCCAGACUCCUACGGAAGGCAGCAG
rnacentral:rRNA from 1 species